AGGGCAGGUGGCUUAAAAUGAAUUGUCAGCUGCUGGGAGCCAUGUGGGUCCUAUGGAAGCUUCUCCAACAGCCUCAGGGCAGCAGCAGCAGCACCCAGAGUAGCUCUUGUUCCUCUACGAAACCUCCUCAAAAAGGUACCAUGGCCAUGAAUAAAGCAUUCAAGACAGUCACCUUCCAGGAGGGUCCCACGAGGAGAAAUGAGGGGAAGAACACAAGAAAGGCUUUGUCUGACUACAGGGAACAAUUCAUUGGCAGAAAUUGCCCUGAGAUUGACUCCCCAUUGCCUUGGGUCCCAAGGUCCUGGGAGAGAAAAGGUCAGUUCAUUUUUUAUUAACUCUUAAAUGUCAGUGUCUUUAUAAUUAGGAAUGUAACAAAAUUAUAU
rnacentral:lncRNA from 1 species